rnacentral:rRNA from 1 species
UGGGGAAUAUUGGACAAUGGGCGAAAGCCUGAUCCAGUCAUGCCGCGUGUGUGAAGAAGGUCUUCGGAUUGUAAAGCACUUUAAGUUGGGAGGAAGGGCAGUAAGCGAAUACCUUGCUGUUUUGACGUUACCGACAGAAUAAGCAACGGCUAACUCUGUGCCAGCAGCCGCGGUAAUACAGAGGGUGCAAGCGUUAAUCGGAAUUACUGGGCGUAAAGCGCGCGUAGGUGGUUCGUUAAGUUGAAUGUGAAAGCCCCGGGCUCAACCUGGGAACUGCAUCCAAAACUGGCGAGCUAGAGUAGGGCAGAGGGUGGUGGAAUUUCCUGUGUAGCGGUGAAAUGCGUAGAUAUAGGACGGAACACCAGUGGCGAAGGCGACCACCUGGGCUCAUACUGACACUGAGGUGCGAAAGCGUGGGGAGCAAACAGG